GUUACAUUCAUCCAGAUAUUUUCCAAGAUUGAAGAAACAAACGGCUGGGAAAGGAAUUAUCUAGAUUCCAGCACUAGAGAAAGCAGCAGCCCUAAAAGAUGUGUCAGGACAAGGAGCAAGGCCAUGUACAUUAGGGACUCUCACGUGCCCUCACCACUGCAGCAGCAUUUUAGUCCAGCUAAGCCCAUGGCCAGGCUGCAAGGCAGAAAUGUCAGUUUCAUUGCAGCAGCUCAGCUUCAGGCACAGAUCUCUAGAGGAUGUUUUAAGUGGACCUUUUUGUCUGGAAAAAGUGCCCUGGGAUGAUUUUUUUUUUUUUUUUUUUUGAUGAUUUACUUAGGUAGUUCCAGCAGUCUCUGCAGCUCUAGGAGGCAAUUAGUCAAAUGACGUCCCAAUCCUGCCACCAGCUAGUGUAUUUCAGUAGACAACUCUUUCUCAUCUAAUUCAGGUGGCAGUGGAGAAACUUCCCACUGUUUCUCCUUUGAACCCAGCUGGACACCACCCUGAAGUUCCAGUACAUGGAGAUAGCCAGUAAAUGAACAAUUGAUGACCUGUGUUGAAGAGAGAGGGCAUGUUGCCUAGGGUCCCCCUGCUUCUGGUAGGCAGCUGCAGAAGGUGAAGAUGCAGCACUGAGGAGGCAGGAGGAGGGCUGACCACCAGCUCCCGGCAUGUCCCCAGCACCAAGUGGCCCAGAGAGAGCCCAGGAUGCGCACGCAGGUGGAUGCUCCGCGUGCUGCCCUAGCGGGUGCCUCAGGACCCUUUGACAUUUCAGUACCAGAAAUCAAAUGUCGCUUCAGAAGCCCGGCCCUCCAAAGAUGUCACAAUCCAACCUCCCACACGCACAGGAGAACAGCGCGUUUGGAGGGAUGAAGUAACUCACCAAGGUCACGCAGUCCUGCAGAGCCAGGAUCCCAACCCAGGAAGUCCUCAGAGCCGGCCCUCGCCACCGACUCCCUGGAGACCAGCCAAAGGAUCUCAGAGAAACACCUGCUCAGGACUACUCAACAAGUAUAUGGUGGAGCCACCUGCCAACCUGCUACCUUAAACUGUCAUUCAAACUAUCUACAUAUCAACUGUCAUCUGCUCUAUAUUGUUGGGGCUUAAGGUCACUGCACAUCUUUUGCAUUCGUUAG
rnacentral:lncRNA from 1 species